GUAGGAAAAACCGUCUCAUUUCAGUUCUCUUCGCGAACUUCUGAGGCUUCCACCUUGAAAGACCGAGUGCUCACCUUAAGGUCUCAUGCUUCUAAGGUUGCAGCCCUUGAAUUGGGACACAGCUAAUAUAGGGCUCCUCGGUGCUCGGGCCCUAAAUACCAGUGCUGAUCGACUAACGUUAGCAGUCCUUGGCUUUAUUAGAAAAUCUUGUUAACGGAGAAAAAAUGAACCAGAUCUGCCAAUUUUGCGUCUAAUAUGUUUGGCUUCUGACUGUUGGCUGAGGGGGUCAAGACCACUGAGGAAAAGUUGAGAUGGACCAUUAAAGAUCUCAACACGCACGUCUCCCGGAAAUCAUGUAUAAUUCAACCAAUCAGAGGACGACUUUGGAAGCUGCUGAAGUGCUUCCAGAAAAGUGUGCCAUAUGCAUCAAAUGUUCAGCCAACGGUCCGAGAUGAAGUCAGGUUUUUUUCAGAUCCAUGCGAACGUGGAUCAUUUUGAUGUUGUCGCCUGUACACAAAACUUUAUAAACAUACCCCCUUGCAGAAAGUUUUUAUUUUUUGGCCUUUCUGUAGAAUGAUUGGCAUCCCAACCAAAAAAUCUGUGAAAUUGGCAGAUUGACGUGGCUGUUGUUCACUUGGAACUUUAACUUGGAAAUCUGACCCAUUGUGCCUUAAGGCAGUCGGCUGUGAGACUAUGAGAAUGAUUCUUGUUUAAUCUGUAAGCUUUUAGUUUCGCAUUCAGAUUCCGAAGAAAGAUAUCCCGUCAGGAAUGAAAAACGAUAAGGGUUAUCAAUCAUUUCUUUUAGUACCUUGCUAAAACUCUUUUGAGAUUAGUGUAAUAAAAACAAUGCUUAAUUGUGUUUGCAUUGUACCUUCUGCAGAAAUGAAAGUAGAAUUGGUUUGCUGUGCUGACAUGUUAAAAUGCUACACUGAAGGCCCAAUUUGUCACGCCAUUUUGACAUGACAAAUGGUAAAACAUCAAAGCUGAGAUUCGCUGUGUGGUUUGAAUUAUGUUGCUUGUUGCUUUCCAUCAGCAUGAAAUGUUAUACAGCACGGCUGAGACACCUCUAAAAGAGUUGUUUCAAAUAAACACCCAACAAGAUGCCAGAUUUCAGCAGAAUGCACGAGAACAAUAGCACAUUUGUAGCCAUAACUAUUACAGAAGCAAUAAACAAGUAGGGGCA